UAUCAAUCUAUAUGUAACAACUUUGUUUUCAUAUUAUUAAGUAAAUCAUAGAACAAGGAAUCAUUAUAACAUGUACAUUGAGAAAAUUUGUUCUCUGUAAUACAACUCUUUUGUAUGUGUGUUUCAAGAUAUUUAAAUUCUGAUUUUACUUACAUUGAAAUAAAAAUCAAAAAAUUACUGUCUGCGUUAUAAAAGAUGAUGAUAAGACAAAAAUUAAUUUUCUCAAGACUUUUGGCGCUAGAAAUGUGUUGUUAUGUACUUUCUAAAUGCAAUGGUAUGUAAGUAAUUUCCUAAUGUAAUGUAAUAAAAGACCGAUUUACCUGCCGCUUUACUGAUUUCAAUCAGUCAAAGAAAAUAUUAUUAAUUUAAUAUUUAAUUGUAUAAAAUCAAACAAUGUUAUUUGGUUUGUAACGGAAAAUAAGAAAUAUUUGAUGACAUAAUGUAUAGAAUUGAAAUACAACUUUAUUUGAGAAUUUCCAUUCAUUAAUGACGGCUGCCACUUGAACCGCUGUAACUUUCAAAUUUGUUAAUGUAUAAUAAAAGACCGAUUUACCGGACGCUUUGCUGUCUCGUCUAAAUGUCUGAGGAGAUUUCAAAUCAGUGUAAAACUUUAUUAAUUCAACUUUUGAUUGCCGUGAUACAAAUUUCAAAUUUUUGAAAAAAAAAAUUGAUUCGUGUAUAGAGAAGACGUAUUUGAAUAUAAUUGGUACUGUUGAUUAAAACAAUUAAAUAAAAAUUAUACUUAAAUACUAUAAGAAAAAUUACCUGCCAGAAUUUCAUCGUCAUUUAAUUUUAGACCUGAAUAAGAAUGAUAUAAUUUUUCUUUUAAAGUAAUGUUUUUAAAUAAAUAAAUAAAUAAAUAAAUAAAUAAAUAAAAUAAUUUAAACUUAAAAUUGGUGAAAUUUUCGUUAUUACGUAUCCAAGUCGAACAAAUUUGGGCCCAACUACUAAUUACAUUGUCAGAGGUUUAAGGGCUAAUUUACUUUGACUUUGCAUUUGAAGAGAGUGGGGUAAGUCAUUGUAUAAAAUCUCUUCAAAUGUUGUAAAAGGCCUCUUUUCGUCGUGGUUUUUGGCACUUCUAAAGUCUUGUGCAACCUGUGUGUGUGUGUGACCUGUUUUGCAGUUCAGCAAAAUGCAUCAGUUUACAUCUUUUCUAAACGAACAAAGUGUAAAAAAUGUGUUAUACUUAUACCAUGCUGGGUUUUUUAAAACACCAGAAAUGUUACGCGACGCUUUUAAUUAUAUCAAUAUCAAGAUUGUCUUUAAUAAUUAUUCAUUAGAAGCUUGGGAGCAAGUUUCUUAUGACCAAAUGUCGAAUCAAGUUAAUAAUAUGGGUAAGUAAUAAUACAAAUAAUAUUGUGAGCAUAAUUAUUAAUUUACAUGUUGAUUAUUAGGACAAAUGUGCAAUAAUUUUUCCGAUGAAAUCGCUCAUGGAAUAAGGAACUUAACUGAUGAUAAUGUGAAUAACAAGUGCGAUGACGAGUCCUGGUACAUGGAAAAUUUUAACUUUCCUAACGAUGUGCAAUCGACUAUGUCCAAAACCACGAUGAAAAGAGCCCUAAAUCAACCAUCAACCUCUCGUUUUGAUGAAUUUACCAACCUGCAACCCUCAACAUCUAAGGCAACAGAAUCAGUGAAUGCUUUAAAAAGACGCCUCCCUAACUUCGAAGAUGGUCCUUUAGAUACACUUGUAAAUCAAAUCGGUGCUGGUCAAAUUGACGAUAAUGAAGUCUUUGAAAAUUUUGCUGAUGAAUUUAACUUUAUUAAUAAAAAUGGAGAAAAUGAAUCAUUCAUAAAAAAGUUUAAUACAUUAGCGAGACGUAUGAGGUUUUCCUUUAAAGAUAAUGCGCCGGAGAAUCCAAUUGAAUGGAUGCAAAAUGCAAUUGAAGAACUGUUGGCGCACAUUUUUAGAGGAUUUUCAAGUGAUGACUAUGUCGGCUUAGUUCUCGAAAAUGAAGAAUUCCCCGAGCGACCUGUUUACAUUUCCUUCCGCAAAUUAUCCCAAUAUAAUGUCGCAAUGGUGAUGGAAACUGUAGGAAAUGUUCUUCAGAGCAAUCGUGCGUUCUUUGUUAAUGAUCGUUUAUCGAUACGGGUGGACAGGGUGGCUUUACCUGUGGGAAAAGGAUUUCGUACCGCCACCGAUGGAUUAGCCGUAAGUUAUAAUGAACAUUGUCUUAGUAAAAAUAGCAUAUAUGUUAUUGAAAAUGAUAACAAUAAUUGUUUAGCAUUAGCAUUAGUAGUCGCAAGAGAGUAUUGCAAUAAUAAUUUUAAAAGAUCCACUUUAGAAAAAUUUAAAGGAAUAAACGGGAAAAAACUUUUAGAACAAUUAGGUGCUGAAUUAUGUAGAGAGGCUGAUGUCGAUUUAGCAAAUGGAGGUAAUUACACACAUGUUGAGAAAUUUCAGAAAUAUUUGGCAAAUUAUACAAUUAUUGUAUACGAUGAUAGAAUGGGUCGAUCAGUGUACUAUGUCGGUCCACGGGCUCAAGGAAGGCCAAGUUUAAAUUUGAUAUUUGAGGAGAAUCAUUUCAAUGUAAUUCUAAGUACAACCGGUGCAUUCGCGACAGCGUAUUUCUGUGAUCUUUGCCGAGUACGAUAUUCACGUCGUGAUCGUCACAAAUCUUGCCCCUACACGUGUCCCUGUUGUUUAGAAAAGCCACCUUGUAAUUUAGUUCAUAGCGAUAUAAAAUGUCAAAAUUGUCAAAGAAAUUUUCGGGGUGCCCAAUGUUUUGAAAAUCAUAUUACAAAAAAUAUAUGCGCGAAAAUAAAAAAAUGCCCAACAUGUUUAACUUUCGUAAAACUUGAUUCUAAAAGUUCAAAACAUAUUUGCGGUAUGAAGUUUUGCCGAACCUGCGGUGUAAACAGACCAAUAAGGCAUUUUUGUUUCAUGAAACAAAACAAAAUUAAUCAAAACAAGCAAUUAGACAAUCAACACAAAUACUUAUUUGUUUAUUACGAUUUUGAAACAAGACAAGAAAAAACUAUCAAUAAUGCGUACCUACACGAAGUAAAUUUGUGUGUGGCACAACAAGUUUGUGCACAUUGUAUUAAUGAAGAUGACAUUUCAGUAAACUGUAAUUUUUGUGGAGUAAGACAACAUAUUUUUUAUGAGGACGCAGUAACAAAUUUGUUAAAUCAUAUCGCUAAACAAUCGAAAAAAUUCAAAGUUACAGCAAUCGCUCACAAUAUGAGAGGUUUCGAUGGCUGUUUUAUAUUACGUGAACUUUUUGCAAAUAGCAGUAGGUGGCAACCGGAGGUGGUUCGUUCGGGAACAAAAUUGUUAGUUAUAACUUGUGGUUCUUCAAUUCGUUUUAUAGACAGUUUAAAUUUUUUGCAGUUACCAUUAUCUCAAUUGCCUAAAGCAUUCAAUAUACAAGAAACAAAAGGUUAUUUUCCCCAUUUAUUUAACACUUUGAAUAAUCAAAAUUACAUAGGAAAAAUUCCCGAUCCUGAGUAUUACGGAUAUAACACUAUGAGUGAGAAAGAUCGUGUAAAAUUUUUAUCAUGGCAUUCAGAACAAGUGACCAAUAAUUUUGUGUUUAAUUUUCAAGUAGAAUUCCUUAAGUAUUGCAUUUCUGAUGUGGAUAUAUUGAGAAAAAGCUGUAUUCGAUUUCGGGAAUGUUUUUUGAAGACCAAUAAUGUAGAUCCGUUUUUAGAAUGCAUUACAAUCGCCUCAGCAUGCAAUUUAGUAUUCCGACGCAACUAUUUACGCGAAAAUUCAAUCGGUAUCAUACCAGUAUCUGGGUACAGAACCGCUGACAAACAAAGUGUCAUUGCUAUAAAUUGGCUACUUUGGGAAUCGAAAAAAAGUAACGUUCAUAUUAUCCAUAGCGGAAAUGCGCGAGAAGUCCGGUUAAAAGAGGGUAUGCUAGUUGACGGGUAUUGUGAAGAGACGAAUACCGUUUAUGAAUUCCAUGGGUGCUGGUGGCACGGGUGCGAGCUAUGUUUUUUUAAUCAAACCCAGAAAUUAUCCGAUAAAAACGACGCGUUAUUCUUGCGUCGUGAAAAUACACAAAGUAAAGAAGAGAGUAUUAGAACAUAUGGCUAUAACUUAAUUACAAUGAGGGAAUGUAUAUUUAAAGACCAAAUUAAAGAGAACCCAGAAUUAAAAAAUUUCAUUGAUAAUCGAAAUUAUUUGAAUAAACACACUCCUUUAAACCCACGCGAUGGCUUCUUUGGAGGAAGAACAAAUGCUUGUAAAUUAUAUUAUAAAUGUAAUGAAAACGAGAAAAUAGCUUAUCAGGAUGUUUGUUCCCUAUACCCAUUCAUUAAUAAAUACGGGAAAUAUCCAAUUGGGCAUCCGAAAAAGAUUUAUGUUGGGCAAGAGGAAUGCGCAAAUGUCGACCUAAAUUCUGUCGAAGGUUUAGUAAAGUGCACUGUAUUACCUCCUGCUCAACUUUACCAUCCUGUGUUACCAUUUCGAUGUAAUGGAAAAUUGACAUUUCCAUUAUGUCGUACCUGCGCUGAAGCUAAUUAUCAAGACAAUUGUUUUCACGAGGAUGUCGAUCGGCAAUUUACUGGGACAUAUGUGGCCGAUGAAUUACGUGUAGCUAUUGAAGAAGGGUACAGUAUAGUGGAACUUAUUGAAAUUUGGGAAUACAAUGUAGAAAUUUACGAUCGGGGUAAUAAAUCGGGCGGACUCUUUUCAGAAUACAUUAAUGCAUUCGUAAAAUUAAAGGUCGAGUGUUCUGGUUGGCCAUCUUGGGUAAGUACCGAUGAAGACAAAAAUGUAUAUAUUCAACAAUACGAGGAACGAGAAGGUAUAAAACUCGAUCCAACCAACGUAUCAAAAAAUUCCGGUCUCAGAUUUCUCGCUAAAAUAAUGUUAAACAGCUUUUGGGGAAAGUUUGGCCAAAAGGAAAAUCUUAAAAAAACUGAUAUAAUUAGCGAUCCCCAUGAGCUGUUUAAGUUGCUAACAAAUCAAUCUGCAAUUGUAAAUAGUCUAUUACAUAUUAACGAAGACGUUAUUCUGGCAACAUGGGAACGUGUAGAGGAAGAUAUAGCGCCCAUGAAAACGGUAAAUGUAGCUCUUGCAUGCUAUACAACAGCCGGUGCACGCUUAGAAUUAUAUAAGUAUUUAAAACCCCUUGGCAAAAGGGUAUUGUAUUUUGAUACCGAUAGUAUCAUUUUCGUUAAAAAAGAAGGGGAAUAUGAACCUCCUACUGGCGAUUUCCUAGGUGACCUCACUGACGAAAUGAUUGAAUAUGGCGAAGGUAGUUAUAUAACUGAAUUUGUCAGUGGGGGUCCUAAAAAUUAUGCCUACAAAUUUUGGAAUGAAAAUGAGCACAAAAUUCAAACUGUGUGUAAAGUCAAGGGGUUAAGUUUGCAUUAUCAAAAUGCUCAAUUAGUUAAUUUCGACAAAAUAAAAGACAUGCUGUGUAAUAACACCGACCAAACUGUUAAAUUGACCGAUCGCACAAUAAUUCGAAAUGAGACUUAUGAUGUUAUGACAAAAGAAACAACUAAGACGUAUCGUAUAAAUUAUACAAAACGACGACGUUUAGAUGAUGGUUCUUUUGACACCUUACCAUAUGGCUAUAGAGAUGUAUAAUAAUAUAAGAUGUAUUAUUUAAUCUUUUAAUAAAUAAAUAAAUCUAAUAAAUAUGAUUUCUGUGAUUUUAUUUUGAUUUAACCCAGAAUGUGUGU